AGUGAACGCUGGCGGUAGACCUAACACAUGCAAGUCGAACGGCAGCACAGUAAGAGCUUGCUCUUACGGGUGGCGAGUGGCGGACGGGUGAGGAAUACAUCGGAAUCUACUUUUUCGUGGGGGAUAACGUAGGGAAACUUACGCUAAUACCGCAUACGACCUACGGGUGAAAGCAGGGGAUCUUCGGACCUUGCGCGAUUGAAUGAGCCGAUGUCGGAUUAGCUAGUUGGCGGGGUAAAGGCCCACCAAGGCGACGAUCCGUAGCUGGUCUGAGAGGAUGAUCAGCCACACUGGAACUGAGACACGGUCCAGACUCCUACGGGAGGCAGCAGUGGGGAAUAUUGGACAAUGGGCGCAAGCCUGAUCCAGCCGUACCGCGUGGGUGAAGAAGGCCUUCGGGUUGUAAAGCCCUUUUGUUGGGAAAGAAAAGCAGCAGGUUAAUACCCCGCUGUUCUGACGGUACCCAAAGAAUAAGCACCGGCUAACUUCGUG
rnacentral:rRNA from 1 species